CUUUCUCUGCUAACUAAAAACCUUAGGUAACAGAUGCCCUAUGAACACGUUGGGGUGGCGUGACAUCACGAGUUGGAAGUCAACAGAGAGACCCUGUGUUCCACUGAUGCCUGGCGUUCCACAUAUACGCAAGAGCCAUUAUGUCAAAUUGAAACUCCCAUGUGUGUGCCUGGUGACUUCGGUUUCCUCAAGGUGCUGAGAGAGUUGCCAAAGUCAGCAGGGUGUGAAGAUGCCACUGGAGGGAUGAAGCUACCCAACGAAUGUCGUCAAGUUGCUCUCCGAGGACUGGCAACGUCUUGAUCUGCGGUCCAGCAGUUUUUGUCUGGUUUCGCAUCUGGGAAAGACUGGUGAUUACUUCUCACUUUUGACAAUGGGCAUGGUACCUUCUAGAACUAUGAAAGCUUACCAGUAGGAAUGACGCUCCCAAGUUAGUACUGGCUCCAAAUCUCCAUGUUCUUUGGCUCAGGUAGGUAAGCUGAGCAUAUGGCCAUAAGAGGACCCUACGGGAAGGCUACCUUAAGACUAACUUAAGCCACUACUCCUUCAGAAGCCAGCCCUAAAGGAUAUUUUUUCAAAGUCACAUUCGCAAAAAUCCAUGGUUCUAAUCCCUCUUCCAAAAUGCAGAAAAGAGUUUCAAGGCUGUUCAGGCUCUAAAGCAGAUCUGGAAUCGCUGAAGAGACUGUGAAGUCUCUGCUCACCUCUUGUUAGUGUGUGACCUUGAACCAGUAACUUACAUGCUCGAGCCGAUUUUGUCAAGUGUGACAUAACACAACCGCCAGAAAUCAGUGCAAAUGUCAAAGAAUUCAUUUUGGUACAGGAAGCACACAGCAAGCAUUCGGUGAUUAUUAGCUACUAUCUGUAUCACAAUAUUCCUAAUAUUUCCUGGAUAACCUUGAGUCUUACCUAUAUUCUCUCCCAUAAUCUCCUGAAAUUUAUAAGUUUCAUAAAUCCUCAUUUUUUUAACAAGCAUCUUAUAUAAAAGAUGUCAUUGUCUUAAGAGGCAUAAAAUUGGCCCCCCAAAGAUGGUCGGUCCAUUUAGUCCAGUUGAGCUGCUACGAUAAAAAAAUCCAUAGAGGCAGCAUAACUUACAGAUGACAUAAAUGUAAUGGUUACAGUUACAGAGGCAGGAAAGUUCUCACAGACAGGAAAUUCUAUGUCUUCACACAGAAAAACAAAACAAAACUAACUAAUCUCCUUGCUGAAGGUGGACCCACAUGAUGUGUUCUUAUCUCCAAUCUGACCAUACCUCCUACCAUCACCAUGGACUUCAAUGUCUGAAUUUAAGGAGACACCAACAUCCAGACCAGAACAACCACAAGUACUCUGAGCCCCCUGGUCCUGUGACUAUGCACUUGCCUUGCAGAGAUAAUUAAGGUUACGGACCUCCCUGCAGUGGGGAGAUUGCCUAAUUAUACAACUGUUUGGUGUAAUAACUCCAUGGUCUGGAAAAGAAGAGAAACAUUUUAGCUGCCAUCAGAAAACCAGUGAAAGAACAACAUUUCUUUAAAAACCCAGUUAUGAGACUGUGUUUUUGUUUUAGUCCCAGGUGUGGGAUAUGGGGCUGCCUCAGAUCGUCCACAGCGCCACAGCAGUUAACUAUAUAUAAUAUGUCUUGAGCUCUAGCAGAGGUGUGAUUUGUGCCAGCUGCAGACAGUUUAAUUCUGGAAACUCUUGAGAAGGUGUAAAUGGGAGAGGCCUGAGAGGGCCUGGAUGGGCUGCUGCUCUCCCUGCUGCUGCACCCCGACCUGGGGCUGCUGGUUUGCCCUGCUGCUCCUGAUUAUUGUUGUUGCAGUAUGACAAGAAGUUGGAGUUAUCCUGACUACAAAGACUGGACUUGCCCCAAGGAU